rnacentral:rRNA from 1 species
GACGAACGCUGGCGGCGUGCCUAAUACAUGCAAGUAGGACGCAGUUGCGAACGGGUGAGUAACGCGUAGGUAACUACCUAUUAGAGGGGGAUAAAUAUUGGAAACGAUAGCUAAUACCGCAUACUAGUAGAUGGACCUGCGUGGUAUUAGCUAGUAGGGAGGGUAAAGGCCUACCUAGGCAACGAGACAUAGCCGACCUGCGAGGGUGAGCGGCCACACUGGGACUGAGACACGGCCCAGACUUCGACGGGAUGCAGCAGUAGGGAAUCUGCGGCAAUGGGGGGAUCUCUGAGCGAGCAACGCCGCGUAAGUGAAGAAGGUGUUGGGAGGGUAAAGCUCUGUUGGUAAGGAAGCGGUAAGUAACCAGAAAGGGACGGCUAACUACGUGCCAGCAGCCGCGGUAAUUC